UACGGAGGAUCCGAGCGUUAUCCGGAUUUAUUGGGUUUAAAGGGUGCGCAGGCGGGCAUUUAAGUCAGUGGUGAAAAGCUGCCGCUCAACGGUAGUCUUGCCAUUGAUACUUUUUGUCUUGAGUUUGUUUGAGGUAGGCGGAAUGUGCAGUGUAGCGGUGAAAUGCAUAGAUAUUGCACGGAACUCCGAUUGCGUAGGCAGCUUACUAGACCAAUACUGACGCUCAUGCACGAAAGCGUGGGGAUCAAACAGGAUUAGA
rnacentral:rRNA from 1 species